rnacentral:rRNA from 1 species
GACAGAGGUGCCGAGCGUUAGGCGGAAUCACUGGGCUUAAAGCGUGUGUAGGCGGAUUUGUAAGUACCUUGUGAAAUCCCACGGCUCAACCGUGGAACUGCUCGGUAUACUGCUUAUCUUGAGCCACUUAGGGGCAGUCGGAACAGAUGGUGGAGCGGUGAAAUGCGUAGAUAUCAUCUGGAACGCCAACGGUGAAAACGGACUGCUGGGAGUGUGCUGACGCUGAGACACGAAAGCUAGGGGAGCGAACGGG